GCAAAACGCGAAGAACCUUACCAGGUCUUGACAUCCUCUGACAACUCUAGAGAUAGAGCGUUCCCCUUCGGGGGACAGAGUGACAGGUGGUGCAUGGUUGUCGUCAGCUCGUGUCGUGAGAUGUUGGGUUAAGUCCCGCAACGAGCGCAACCCUUGAUCUUAGUUGCCAGCAUUUAGUUGGGCACUCUAAGGUGACUGCCGGUGACAAACCGGAGGAAGGUGGGGACGACGUCAAAUCAUCAUGCCCCUUAUGACCUGGGCUACACACGUGCUACAAUGGAUGGUACAAAGGGCUGCAAGACCGCGAGGUCAAGCCAAUCCCAUAAAACCAUUCUCAGUUCGGAUUGUAGGCUGCAACUCGCCUACAUGAAGCUGGAAUCGCUAGUAAUCGCGGAUCAGCAUGCCGCGGUGAAUACGUUCCCGGGUCUUGUACACACCG
rnacentral:rRNA from 1 species